rnacentral:rRNA from 1 species
GACGAACCGUGCGAACGUUAUUCGGAAUCACUGGGCUUAAAGCGCGUGUAGGCGGGACGGCACGUCGGUCGCUGAAAGCCCCCGGCUCAACCGGGGAACGGGCGCCGAUACGACCGUCCUGGAGGGACGUAGGGGGACCUGGAACUUCCGGUGGAGCGGUGAAAUGCGUUGAGAUCGGAAGGAACGCCUGUGGCGAAAGCGAGGUCCUGGACGUUUUCUGACGCUGAGACGCGAAAGCCAGGGGAGCGAACGGG